rnacentral:misc_RNA from 1 species
UUGAAUAAACUUGAUCAGGUUGUUGCUGGCUCUACUGAGCAUGUGCACACUUGUCAUCUUUACUUUUUCCCACUGUGCACAUAUUGUAGGCCUGGAAUUCUUAUUAUUUUGUGUAGAUUGAGGACUGCUGUGCUUCAGCCAGCUUUUCCUUGGCUUUCCAGGUCUAUGUUUACCUUUACAACCUCUGAAUAUGUCUAGAAUGUUGGAAUAUAAUAUAAUAGUUAA